rnacentral:rRNA from 1 species
ACGGGUGAGUAACGCGUGGUCAACCUACCGUUGAGUGGGGGAUAACUAGCCGAAAGGUUAGCUAAUACCGCAUACGUCUCCGAGUGGCAUCACUUGGCGAUAAAAGGAGCAAUCCGCUCGAUGACGGGACCGCGUCCCAUUAGCUAGAUGGUGGGUAACGGCCUACCAUGGCACCGAUGGGUAGCUGGUUUGAGAGAGCGACCAGCCACACUGGGACUGAGAAACGGCCCAG